GACGAACGCUGGCGGCGUGCCUAAUACAUGCAAGUCGAGCGGAACUGGGGGAGCUUGCUCCUUCCAGUUUAGCGGCGGACGGGUGAGUAACACGUGGGCAACCUGCCCUGCAGAUCGGGAUAACUCCGGGAAACCGGCGCUAAUACCGAAUAGUUUGGCGCCUCUCCUGAGGCGCUACGGAAAGACGGUUUCGGCUGUCACCGCAGGAUGGGCCCGCGGCGCAUUAGCUAGUUGGUGGGGUAACGGCCCACCAAGGCGACGAUGCGUAGCCGACCUGAGAGGGUGACCGGCCACACUGGGACUGAGACACGGCCCAGACUCCUACGGGAGGCAGCAGUAGGGAAUCUUCCGCAAUGGACGCAAGUCUGACGGAGCAACGCCGCGUGAGUGACGAAGGUUUUCGGAUCGUAAAACUCUGUUGUGAGGGAAGAACACGUACCAACUAACUAUUGGUACCUUGACGGUACCUCACCAGAAAGCCACGGCUAACUACGUGCCAGCCGCCGCGGUAA
rnacentral:rRNA from 1 species